CCUGAAUCUAUUUGGAAUAGAGGUGCUGUUGACAAGGCAAGGGUGACAACACGGUAUGAUGACCUGGAUGGGGCCGUGUUAUGAAAACCAGGGCUCUGUUCUUCACGAAUGCUUUCCCUGAAGACACCUAAUGAGGUUGCACACCCAUGUGUCCUCAAGACCAGACAGGACACAUAACCUGUAAAACAGCGGAGUAUAGGAGAACUGGUGUCGUGGGGGGGGGGGGGGUCAACCUUGAUCCACCUGAAAGUAUGACACUUUAACAGAUAAUUUCAGAACUUGUGGAGUCCAAGCAAAGCUGUUUUGAGGGCCAGACAUUCACAGCCUGUUUCCAUAGGGAGACCCUGGAGGCUCCAAGAGGGUCAGGAACUUCCUUGAGGCCACACAGUGGGUCUGGGACAGCCCCGGGAACAGAGCCAGGCAUCCCGUGGCCACAGAGCCCAAGACUUGCCUGCUGGCUGUCUCCUCAGCCUCGUUCUCCCCGCCUCUGAACACACACACUCAGCCAGGUGCUGGACUCCUGCCGCGUGCCUCAGAGACCACAGAGAGUGGGGGACCCUCUUCUCGGACAGACCUUCUGUCACUGCCACUACCCUGUGACCUGGCCCCUCCUCCGUACAGAGACCGUCUCCCAAGUAUCUGGAGACCCAGCAAGCGGGAGAGCCGUGGGGCAAACGCGUGGGCGUCGGAUCCCAGAUGGAAGAAUGUCGCACCGAGAUGUGGUUGAGCUGGGAAAACGUGUCCGGGAAGCAGACGCUCUGACCGGACACAAGGCUGACGGUUCCUCGGACGACUGUGUGAGGCUUCCGCUGCAGACGUCUUAGCAUCUUGCCGGGAGCCUCUGCUGCUCACUUCCCUUCACUGCAGGGGAGCAGACAGAGAGGCUCGGGUGCUCAGGUGCCGAACGGACAGAGCCCCGAGGACGCGCCAUGUCCCCUGUAGCCAGAGUGGAAAAUCAAGAGUGUCGUGCUCCACCCAGGGCUCCGUGUCCGCCGCCGGGUGAGUCUCCGGCAGGGGAAUCUGAUGAUGCGGUUAGCUGGGCUUGGGUCACAGAGCCAUCCCAGCUGAAGGGAGGAGCCAGCCCCCACCGCCCAGAACCACAGAGGCGAUGGCGCUCCAGGGAAAAUGCAGGCCCGUUACUAGAAGGGCGUGGGUUGCGUGCGGAUCCAGCAACGCCAGCGAAUGCCUGUCAUCCUUCUCGUCCCGGAUCACCUGUGUGCCCCUGCCUGCCUCCCCACGCCUCCUCGGGCUGGACCCCGUCUUCCGUGUCUGCAGGCCACACCCGGCCCAUUCCCCCCGCUGUCCUCCCAGUGUGUGUGUGACACCUGCUCUGUGAGACCAGCUCUCGGGACCUGCAUCUCCACUGGCACCUGCUCUGUGACGCCAGCUCCUGGCACACACGCCCGCGGCUCCCAGGAGUCCUGUUGGCACUUACUGGGCAGGAGCAUGAAUGACUGAACGGAACUGGACACGAGUCAAGGCAGUUUUCUGCUCAGUGAGUGGUGGUGGAGGGAGUGAACGAGGUCGCCCGCGGGGACAUCCACUGCGGAGUAGGUGGCCUGACCCCGGCCACUGGUCAGGGCCCCCAGGGCUGUCCCCAGAUGCGGGGGUGCCCUCUCCCGGGGAGCCCCAGGCUCUUGGCCAUCCUGAUGCUCUGGAAAGAAGUGAAAUAGCAGAGGAGCUGGUUUCUCUCCGGAAUUCCUGGAGUCACAUCUCAUAAUUCUGGUGGCUGAGGGCCUGUUUUCAGGCAGCGUCUGCCAGACGCCGGCCAGAAACUGUGUGAGGAGUCCACAAGGCAGACUCCCGAGGUGGAGUUCUAGAAACUUCUAGAACUCCUCCUCCCCCCAAAGCUUCCUCCUGGCUUUCUGUGGGCCAUGGCAGGGAGUUGGGCAGUUGUGAGUGACCCAGCCAGACUGUCCGUGGAAACCCUCGGGUUAUUUUCGGCACCUGAUAGUAACUUCCAGACACCGAGGUGGUGGGGGGUUCCGUGUUGUCCUACAGCCUCCGACCUCUGACCAGGUUGUGCGAAGCCAGGUCGAGCACCUGGGGCCUGCCUGGUCAUCAUCAUGCCUGUACUGGGAGGGCCUCAGAGUGGCCCGAGUCGAGGGCGUGUGCACAUUGGGACCACCUCGGAUCGCCUUGCUUAGACCUGACCGGGUUCCAUCUGUGGGGGGGGUUGACAUGCCAGACCCAGGGCAGGAUCUUUACUCCCUGCUCAGCUUGGCCCCGGCACCCUCCCGUCCGCAAACUGGCCCAGGACUCUGUCUGACCGAGCGAGCGUGCAGCCCGCUGGCCUUCUGGUUCCUGCACCGGGACGUGUGUGGGUGGGGGCGGCGGUGUCCCCAUAUGCUCUCGAGCCCCCAUGCAGGGUGCCCUUCCAGGACCACCUCCCCCUUGAGUGCGUCAUAGAUAAAUAGGUGUCCCAGCUGGAAUGAGGCUUCCGGAACAAGAGGGGACACGUGAGCAAGCGCACCCUGCGGCCGGCGGGCUGGGUGCACAGGGGACCCUCGCCGGGGGCCAGGCUGGGGGCAGGGAAGGGGCCUGAGGUAUGAGAACACAGAGGGCCUUCUCAGGGCACCCAUCCUGCUGGCCUGAAAUUUUGUCAUGGACGGUCAUUUCCAUGUUCCAGAAUUUAAAAUAAAGUAUUUGAAAUGCCCGCA
ensembl:lncRNA